CCGCGUGCGGGAUGAAGGCCUUCGGGCUGUAAACCGCUUUCAGCAGGAACGAAAAUGACGGUACCUGCAGAAGAAGGAGCGGCCAACUACGUGCCAGCAGCCGCGGUGACACGUAGGCUCCAAGCGUUGUCCGAUUUAUUGGGCGUAAAGAGCUCGUAGGCGGUUGAGUAAGUCGGGUGUGAAAACUCUGGGCUUAACCCGGAGACGCCAUCCGAUACUGCUCUGACUUGAGUUCAGGAGGGGAGUGGGGAAUUCCUAGUGUAGCGGUGAAAUGCGCAGAUAUUAGGAGGAACACCGGUGGCGAAGGCGCCACUCUGGACUGAAACUGACGCUGAGGAGCGAAAGCAUGGGUAGCAAACAGGAUUAGAUACCCUGGUAGUCCAUGCCGUAAACGGUGGGCACUAGGUGUGGGUUCCAACUAACGGGAUCCGCGCCGUCGCUAACGCAUUAAGUGCCCCCGCCUGGGGAGUACGGUCGCAAGACUAAAACUCAAAGGAAUUGACGGGGGCCCGCACAAGCAGCGGAGCGUGUUGCUUUAUUCGAUGCUACGCGAAAGAACUUAACUGG
rnacentral:rRNA from 1 species